UGAUUACAAAGCCAGGUCUGAGGUAUGAUU
rnacentral:piRNA from 1 species